CCUACGGGAGGCAGCAGUGAGGAAUAUUGGUCCAUGGUCGGAAGCCUGAACCAGCCAAGUCGCGUGCGGGAGUAAGGCCCUACGGGUCGUAAACCUCUUUUGCCGGGGAGCAGUGCCCAGCUCGUGAGCUGGGAGGGAGCGUACCCGGAGAAAAAGCAUCGGCUAACUCCGUGCCAGCAGCCGCGGUAAUACGGAGGAUGCGAGCGUUAUCCGGAUUAUGUGGGUUUACGGGGUGCGUAGGCGGGCCUUCCGGGCGGCGGUAAAAGUGCGGGGCUCAACCCCGCCGAGCGGUCGGAACCGGGGGCCUUGAGUACCGGGGAGGGAGGCGGAAUGCGUGGUGUAGCGGUGAAAUGCAUAGAUAUCACGCAGAACCCCGAUUGCGAAGGCAGCGUACCGGCCGGUCACUGACGCUGAGGCACGAAGGCGCGGGUAUCGAACAGGAUUAGAUACCCCUGUAGUC
rnacentral:rRNA from 1 species